rnacentral:rRNA from 1 species
GACGAACGCUGGCGGCGUGCUUAACACAUGCAAGUCGAACGCUGAAGCUCAGCUUUUGUUGGGUGGAUGAGUGGCGAACGGGUGAGUAACACGUGAGUAACCUGCCCCCUUCUUUGGGAUAACGCCCGGAAACGGGUGCUAAUACUGGAUAUUCACUGGUCUUCGCAUGGGGGUUGGUGGAAAGGGUUUUUCUGGUGGGGGAUGGGCUCGCGGCCUAUCAGCUUGUUGGUGGGGUGAUGGCCUACCAAGGCUUUGACGGGUAGCCGGCCUGAGAGGGUGACCGGCCACAUUGGGACUGAGAUACGGCCCAGACUCCUACGGGAGGCGGCAGUGGGGAAUAAUGCACAAUGGGCGCAAGCCUGAUGCAGCGACGCCGCGUGAGGGAUGGAGGCCUUCGGGUUGUGAACCUCUUUCGCUCAUGGUCAAGCCGCAACAAUGGUUGUGGUGAGGGUAGUGGGUAAAGAAGCGCCGGCUAACUACGUG